AACGAACGCUGGCGGCAGGCUUAACACAUGCAAGUCGAGCGCCUCGCAAGAGGAGUGGCAGACGGGUGAGUAACGCGUGGGAACGUACCCUUAUCUUCGGAAUAGCUCUGGGAAACUGGAAGUAAUACCGAAUGUGCCCUUAGGGGGAAAGAUUUAUCGGAUAAGGAUCGGCCCGCGUUGGAUUAGCUAGUUGGUGGGGUAAAGGCCUACCAAGGCGACGAUCCAUAGCUGGUCUGAGAGGAUGAUCAGCCACAUUGGGACUGAGACACGGCCCAAACUCCUACGGGAGGCAGCAGUGGGGAAUAUUGGACAAUGGGCGCAAGCCUGAUCCAGCCAUGCCGCGUGAGUGAUGAAGGCCUUAGGGUUGUAAAGCUCUUUCACCGGAGAAGAUAAUGACGGUAUCCGGAGAAGAAGCCCCGGCUAACUUCGUG
rnacentral:rRNA from 1 species